ACUGCUCAGUAACACGUGGAUAACCUGCCCAAGGGUCCGGGAUAACCCCGGGAAACUGGGGAUAAUACCGGAUGGAUCACUUAUGCUGGAAUGCUUGGUGGUCGAAAGGUGACGCCCUUGGAUGGGUCUGCGGCGGAUUAGGUUGACGCCGGUGUAACGUACCGGCGUGCCUGUAAUCCGUACGGGUUGUGGGAGCAAGAGCCCGGAGAUGGAUUCUGAGACACGAAUCCAGGCCCUACGGGGCGCAGCAGGCGCGAAAACUCUACAAUGCAGGCAACUGCGAUAGGGGGACAUCGAGUGGCAUCCACCUUGGGUGCCUGUCCCACCGUCUAAAAAACGGUGGUUAGCAAGGGCCGGGCAAGACCGGUGCCAGCCGCCGCGGUAAUACCGGCGGCUCGAGUGGUGGCCGAUAUUAUUGAGUCUAAAGGGUCCGUAGCCGGCUUUGCAAGUCCCCUGGGAAAUCCAGCGGCUUAACCGUUGGGCUUUCAUGGGAUACUACAUUGCUUGGGACUGGGAGAGGUAGGAGGUACUCGGGGGGUAGGGGUGAAAUCCUGUAAUCCCCCGGGGACCACCGGUGGCGAAGGCGUCCUACCAGAACAGGUCCGACGGUGAGGGACGAAAGCUAGGGGCACGAACCGGAUUAGAUACCCGGGUAGUCCUAGCCGUAAACGAUGCCCGCUAGGUGUCACGGCGGUCGUGAAUCGCCGUGGUGCCGUAGGGAGGCCGCGAAGCGGGCCACUUGGGAAGUACGGCCGCAAGGCUGAAACUUAAAGGAAUUGGCGGGGGAGCAC
rnacentral:rRNA from 1 species